CCGGCACGGGUGAGUAACACGUAUCCAACCUGCCGUCUACUCUUGGACAGCCUUCUGAAAGGAAGAUUAAUACAAGAUGGCAUCAUGAGUCGCAUGUUCACAUGAUUAAAGGUAUUCCGGUAGACGAUGGGGAUGCGUUCCAUUAGAUAGUAGGCGGGGUAACGGCCCACCUAGUCUUCGAUGGAUAGGGGUUCUGAGAGGAAGGUCCCCCACAUUGGAACUGAGACACGGUCCAA
rnacentral:rRNA from 1 species